GGGGAGCAUCGUCUAGUAUCUAGUCCCCACUAAGAGGUCAUUCGCAUGGCCAACCAUCGACAGACCCAUAGUAGGAGGGUGGCCACUGAUCGAGGGAGAUCGAGCGGAAUGUCCCUCAAGGAGGUUGCUCCAGGACUAGGGAUUGAUCCUAGCGAUAGUAUCGAGAUGGCACCACCUAGGGAGUAGGCCGAGGUAGUUGCCACAGUUUCAUGGUGUGUUGCAGGUGCUGGACAGAGUUCGUCAAUGCUUGGACCUG
rnacentral:lncRNA from 1 species